AAGUCGUAACAAGGUUUCCGUAGGUGAACCUGCGGAAGGAUCAUUAAACAAUGAGAGCGUCUAACCGCGCUCUAUAGGUCACACACGGUUGGCUCUGCAACGUUGGGUGUAAAGACUUUGUUCGAUUCCGAUGUUGCAGUGUUGCCGGUGUCCUACUCACCACUAUGCUCACCGUAUAUAUGCAUUUGCGUAAUUUUCUAUUUGUUUGUCUAAUGUUUUACAUUCUCUAAGUUUGGCCUCACCGCCGAAUGACUGAAAAUAAAAAACAACUUUUAACAAUGGAUCUCUUGGCUCUC
rnacentral:misc_RNA from 1 species